GACGUCAAAUCAUCAUGCCCCUUUAUGACCUGGGCUACACACGUGCUACAAUGGUUGGUACAACGAGUUGCGAGUCGGUGACGGCGAGCUAAUCUCUUAAAGCCAAUCUCAGUUCGGAUUGUAGGCUGCAACUCGCCUACAUGAAGUCGGAAUCGCUAGUAAUCGCGGAUCAGCACGCCGCGGUCGAAUACGUUCCCGGGCCUU
rnacentral:rRNA from 1 species